UGGGGAAUCUUCCGCAAUGGACGAAAGUCUGACGGAGCAACGCCGCGUGAGUGAUGACGGCCUUCGGGUUGUAAAGCUCUGUUAAUCGGGACGAAUGGUUCUUGUGCGAAUAGUGCGAGGAUUUGACGGUACCGGAAUAGAAAGCCACGGCUAACUACGUGCCAGCAGCCGCGGUAAUACGUAGGUGGCAAGCGUUGUCCGGAAUUAUUGGGCGUAAAGCGCGCGCAGGCGGAUUGGUCAGUCUGUCUUAAAAGUUCGGGGCUUAACCCCGUGAUGGGAUGGAAACUGCCAAUCUAGAGUAUCGGAGAGGAAAGUGGAAUUCCUAGUGUAGCGGUGAAAUGCGUAGAUAUUAGGAAGAACACCAGUGGCGAAGGCGACGUUCUGGACGAAAACUGACGCUGAGGCGCGAAAGCCAGGGGAGCGAACGGG
rnacentral:rRNA from 1 species